UGGAUGAUGUGUGGUGGUUUAACAGGUAGCUUAAUCCCAGAGCAGAUCAAACUUGUGAACUCUAGAACCUAUCAGUCUUCAAAGAUUACCUCGAGGUGUACAUUUCCUAAAGCAAGAAAUUUUGCCUGCUCUGGAGAAACGAUAACUGCAACCACAUUGCUGGACAGGAAUCAGAAGGAGAAACAGUAAUUGGCCCUCUUCUCAUCUGGGACACAGGGGAUCAAGACAGCUUGUUGACCAGGAACCACUCACCUAGACUGCCAUUAUCCUAAAGCUUGAAGCUUUGCAGGAAUCCAAGAACUGCCAACAUGCCUUUCAUGUCUUAUAAUGAUUACUGCAACAGACCUCUUAAGAAAUGAACAUAGAACACCUAUGCUUGCUACAUAAAAGGGGGAAGGUUGGAGAAGAAAAUAAUUCAGAAAAACAGAAGGAAAAAGUUGUUCUCCUUGGCUAUUGAAGUUUUUCCUUCCUGCUGCUUUCUGUAAAAGUAGAAGGACUGACUGAAUGGAAAUCACACGAAGAAGUCUCCAGAUUUUUUUUUAAUCACUGCGUAGCCUACGCAUCCUCUUCCCUCCUCUCUCCCUAAGGUGAAUAUGACACAACCAGAAAAUCCAGCAGAUGAGUACUCAAGCACAAUAAGAAAGUCUGUCCAGGCUGCAGCCUCGCUAUCUGCUCUGCUAAAGCUUUAUGCCUUCUCUUAAUGGCUUUAUGCCUUCUCCUAAAACAGCCUGCAUCUCUUUUGUGUGUACCUUGUAUGCUUUGGGAACAAUUACCUUUCAAGAAGAUCAAAAGGACACCUCUAAUAUCAGUCACUUGCGUUGCAGUAUUACCAAUUCAUACAUUUGUUUCCGUGUUUAAAUGACUACUUUCAUAAUUUGGUUCCGCGCUUUGUUCAUACUGAGUUAUCUCAACCCACAAUAUUGUUAUUGCAAACGUCUGUUGAAAGAUUUAAAUGAACAAUUGAGGAAGCAGAAAACCACAGCUGGUCCUAUCGUUGGGACAUUUUAAUCUACUUGUAUUUGAUUUUCUUCUCUAAACACAUCACUGUUGUGUUGAUGCUUCUUCUAAGGAUUAAUUAGCAAAGCAAUUAACAUGUUUUAACCUUUCUGUUUACUUACCCAUCCCUAAGGACAUACGUACCUUGGUCAGUUUGUGCUUCAAAAUUACACUUUUUGAUGUUGUUUUGUCAAGGUCAGAUUAAUUAAAUACUGCUUUACAUACAACCAAA